rnacentral:lncRNA from 10 species
GGCAAGGAUGCCAUCCAUCGGCCUCUGUCAGCCGUGGAACUCAUGGAUUAUUUCUAUUCUUUUCCUUAGACUUUUAACUGCAUUCUGAAUAGCAACUCAUCUGAGGAGGAGAAUAUUCUAGACUUUGCUUAAGAUCUGAUUCUCCCUUUAACCUGUCCUAUGAAAACUGAGCCUGUUAUUGGAUUCUCCAGACUGUUUUCUUCAUGGGAAAUGGGGAUAAGAAUUUCUGCCUGCUGGGGAACUGAGCACAAUAUAACUAUGAAAAUGCUAAAAAUAUACCAUUCUUCUCAAAGGAGUUGAGAUCACCUAAAACAAAUGACAUAGCCACAGUAUAGUCAGUAAAGCAGAACUAGAGUGUGGAAAAUCAGGAACUAGGGAAGAAAGACAGAGACACUAAUGGGCUUUAAGAGGUUGAGCAGCAAAACCUAAAAAUCCUUGACAUCAAGUGAUGUCCAGUUAAUGAAAAGAGGAGAUCCUCACAACAUAUCCAGACACGGAAAGUUCUUUUUCCUUCCACAGGAUAGCUUUGGCAUAAAGAGGAACAUAUUUCACAGAGUUUAUGAAGGACAGUUUGUCUCCAGAAGUUUCUGCAUGUGCUCAGCCUUCUGCGGCAGCAAAUAGCAGUAGGCAUAUGUGGAACUCUCUGCAGAGAUCUUCAGAAGACUCAGCCCUCUGCAGUAUGAACUGUGAACAAUGAUGGCGGGAGAUUCUCUGUUUGUCAAAACCAACCAAGGGCAGGGACUAGUCCCAGCUGAGCUGGCGUGGAGCUUCAGAGAAAUGGAGUUUAACUGUGGCCAUCAGAGGAAUUUCUAUUUCAGAAUUACUUAGAAGAAGAAUUCAAUCUGGGUCAGAGGGCAGGCUCUGGAAAGGUGGGCUUUCUGAGAGGCAGGAAGGUGGGGAGGAGCAAACACUGUGUUCAGGGACCCCUGAGUACAAGCAGUGCUUUCUCCCCACCUCCCCUUCCAGGUCUGGGGUUUGGUUUUAGAGCAGGGAGGA